ACGGGUGAGUAAUACAUCGGAACGUGCCCAGUAGUGGGGGAUAGCCCGGCGAAAGCCGGAUUAAUACCGCAUACGACCUAUGGGUGAAAGCGGGGGAUCGCAAGACCUCGCGCUAUUGGAGCGGCCGAUGUCAGAUUAGCUAGUUGGUGGGGUAAAAGCCUACCAAGGCGACGAUCUGUAGCUGGUCUGAGAGGACGACCAGCCACACUGGGACUGAGACACGGCCCAGACUCCUACGGGAGGCAGCAGUGGGGAAUUUUGGACAAUGGGCGCAAGCCUGAUCCAGCCAUGCCGCGUGUGGGAAGAAGGCCUUCGGGUUGUAAACCACUUUUGUCAGGGAAGAAACGGCUUGAUCUAAUAAAUCGAGCUAAUGACGGUACCUGAAGAAUAAGCACCGGCUAACUACGUGCCAGCAGCCGCGGUAAUACGUAGGGUGCAAGCGUUAAUCGGAAUUACUGGGCGUAAAGCGUGCGCAGGCGGCUAUGCAAGACAGAUGUGAAAUCCCCGGGCUCAACCUGGGAACUGCAUUUGUGACUGCAUGGCUAGAGUACGGUAGAGGGGGAUGGAAUUCCGCGUGUAGCA
rnacentral:rRNA from 1 species